UGAGGCAGGAGAAUUGCUUGAACCCAGGAGGUGGAGGUUGCAGUGAGCCGAGAUCACACCACUGUACUCCAGCCUGGGUGACAGAGCGAGACUCCGUCUC
ensembl:miRNA